rnacentral:lncRNA from 1 species
GCUGAGACAUAAGCUAAGACUCUUGGAUUCCGAGCUAAAUGCUGGAUUUCUUUUCUCUUACACUCUGUUGCCUGCUUAUUCAAGGUCAGAAAGUGUCACAUCCAUCAUUAAAUUAAAUUUUACUGGACCUCAUUGAGUGAAACUCAGGGCUAUGACAAUCUCUGUGCAUCUUUGGAGUUAACCAGGCCACGAGGGGGAUUUCUUCAUGAAUGUCUAGGGUUUUAUUGGGUAGAAAAAACACCCGGUAGGGUUAAGCCUUCUGUCUCAACUAUGGGGGGGAAAGUAUCAAAGUGUACAGAUCCAUAAGUCAUUAAAAGUUUAAAAAAACCCACAACAACAACAACAAUAAAAUCUGCAUUCUGGGUGGCUGCUUACAAAGCAGCUGUAAUCGCCUGGCCAAAUCAGAUCUUGCUCCAUGCUCCUUCCUGAACUUCCUUUGUCCUCAAUCUGAGCACAGUGCAGAGGAGGGAUGUGUGGGUCCAGGGCAAGAUGGAAUUUGGACCAGCUGUUUUCAAAGGUUACAUUAGAAACUCCAAAGGCUAAAAGGGUUUCUGUGAAAACGGCCUUCUAACAUCAGAGUCACCACAUUGCAUCACGUGUCUGUACCAAGAAACCACAGUGGGGAUGUAACUGGUAACACACAAAUCUUCCUAAGAUGAACAAAAUGUUAGGCCCUAUCGACAUGGCACAAGGACAUAUCUGACUUUCCAAAUUUCUUCCAUUUUUGUGGUUUUUGAGGUUGCAGUAGAAUUCAAACCUCUCCGGGUUCAAGUUAUCAAGUCUUGACAAAAUAUGACUUCCUAGAUCAGCAAAAGGUUUUGAUUAAAAAAAAUUUUUUUUGAGGGCAAUUAGAUGAAAUCAUUUUCAUCAUGGAUAAAUGAAUCAAGGUUAGAUUUCUCUUAAAAUACACAGGGAUAAAAAAAUCUCAGGAUGAAAUAAGCAGUAGACUGAUUCUGAGCUUCGUAGGGUUUUCCCACAAUGAAAAGUCCUAAGUUCCUGUAAAUCCCAAACUUGGACAAAGGGCAAGAAAACAGAACAGAAAAGAGAAAGAGGGCUAAAUGAGUACAUGUAAUCACUGGGCAACAGGCUUCAAUUUGGUCUCUUCUGGGGGCAGACAUGUCCCCUCGAUAGCUGUCAUCCUCUUUGCAUAAUGAUAGAUGUUUGU